rnacentral:rRNA from 1 species
UACGUAGGUCUCGAGCGUUAUCCGGAAUUACUGGGCGUAAAGCGUCUGUAGCCGGAUGUAUAAGUCUGUCUUUAAAUACUCUGAUUCAAUCGGAGAAAAGGGAUAGAUACUGUAUAUCUAGAGGAUUUUAGGGGUUAGUGGAAUUUCCGGUGGAGCGGUGAAAUGCGUUGAUAUCGGAAGGAAUGCCGAAAGCGAAAGCAGCUAACUAUAAAAUAUCUGACGGUCAGAGACGACAGCUUGGGGAGCGAACGGG